CGUGGUGCCGAAWAAUGGCGACGCGAAAGAGAAAUCGAGUAGGGCCCUGGGGAGAGUACACGCGCAAGCGAGAAAUUUAAAGGAAAUUGACGGAAGAACACCACAAGGAGUGGAGUGUGCGGCUUAAUUUGACUCAACGCGGGACAACUUACCGGGCCCGACGACCGUAAGAGUGUGACACACGAUAGGUCGAAGAGUGGUGCAUGGCCGUUAACGACGAGUGGAGUGAUCUUUGGGUUAAGUCCGUAAAUUAGUGAGACCUCAGCCGUAAGGGACAGGUGCGCAAAGCACAGGAAGGAUGGGUCAAGGACAGGUCAGUGAUGCCCUUAGAUGGUCCGGGCUGCACGCGCACUACAGUGGUCGCCGAAAUUAGCUGAUAAUUUUAAAGGCGAUCGAGAGGGAAUGAGCUUUGUAAGAGGCUCAGGAACGAGGAAUUGCUAGUAAUCGCGGACUCAUUAAGACGCGAUGAAUACGUCCCUGUUCUUUGUACACACCGCCCGUCGUUAUCGAAGAUGAAGACAGGCGCGAACGAUCUACCAGAAAGUGAGCGCAGGUCUUUAGAUCUGAUACAAGUCGUAACAAGGUAGCUGUAGGUGAACCUGUAGCUGG
rnacentral:rRNA from 1 species